UGGGGAAUAUUGGACAAUGGGGGAACCCUGAUCCAGCCAUGCCGCGUGUGUGAAGAAGGCCUUUUGGUUGUAAAGCACUUUAAGCGAGGAGGAGGCGCUCUAGGAUAAUACCCUAGAUGCGUGGACGUUACUCGCAGAAUAAGCACCGGCUAACUCUGUGCCAGCAGCCGCGGUAAUACAGAGGGUGCGAGCGUUAAUCGGAUUUACUGGGCGUAAAGCGCGCGUAGGUGGCUAAUUAAGUCAAAUGUGAAAUCCCCGAGCUUAACUUGGGAAUUGCAUUCGAUACUGGUUAGCUAGAGUAUGGGAGAGGAUGGUAGAAUUCCAGGUGUAGCGGUGAAAUGCGUAGAGAUCUGGAGGAAUACCGAUGGCGAAGGCAGCCAUCUGGCCUAAUACUGACACUGAGGUGCGAAAGCAUGGGGAGCAAACAGGAUUAGAUACCCUGGUAGUCCAUGCCGUAAACGAUGUCUACUAGCCGUUGGGGCCUUUGAGGCUUUAGUGGCGCAGCUAACGCGAUAAGUAGACCGCCUGGGGAGUACGGUCGCAAGACU
rnacentral:rRNA from 1 species